GAGUAAGAUUUGCAGAGUUCCUUUUACUUUUUGUUGUUAGGAGUUCAGUAAAGUGAUUAGAAUUUAAGAUAAUUAGAUGUUGAGGUUGAACGCUUUCUUAAUUGGUGGCUGUUUUACAGAAAAAAGUUUAAAGUUGAACUAAGAUUCUAUCUUGGACAACCAGCUAUCACAAGGCUCCGUAGGCUUGUCACCACUACUCAUGAAUUUUCCCACUAUUUUGCCACACAGGUGGGUGUGCUCUUUCAGCUGUUCUUGAGUAGCUCGUCUGGUUUCGGGAGACUUGGCUAUGGUUCUCUGUGUCAAGUUAUUUCUAGCUAGUACAUUAUGCAGAAGGUAAAAG
rnacentral:lncRNA from 1 species